UCCGAAUUGGUCUAUCGGCUAGGAUUGCCCGCUUUCACUUCUUGCUGAUAUCCGGGCCGGGCCGGGUUCGACUCCCGGAUUCGGAA